GACGAACGCUGGCGGCGUGCCUAAUACAUGCACGUAGAACGAAGUGGCGAACGGGUGAGUAACGCGUAGGUAACUGCCUGGUAGCGGGGGAUAACUAUUGGAAACGAUAGCUAAUACCGCAUACUACCAGGUGGACCUGCGUUGUAUUAGCUAGUUAGUGGGUUAACGGCUCAACAAGGCAACGAUACAUAGCCGACCGGAGAGGGUGAUUGGGCACACUGGGACGGAGACACGGCCCAGACUCCUACGGGAGGCAGCAGUAGGGAAUCUUCGGCAAUGGGUGGAAGUCUGACCGAGCAACUCCGCGUGAGUGAAGAAGGUUUUCGGAUCGUAAAGCUCUGUUGUAAGAGAAGCGGUAUCUUACCAGAAAGGGACGGCUAACUACGUGCCAGCCGCCGCGGUAAUUC
rnacentral:rRNA from 1 species